UACUUAAGCAACUGCUAUUUGAUCGUUGACAUCGUUGCCAUCGUUGGAGUGAUAUGUGUUUGUGUGUUGCGGAAGGAAAUUUUGUUUCGGUUAAAAAUAAAAGGCGUUUUUUUAAAUGAAAAAGAAAGUUAAUAGAAGCCACAAAAUUACAUAGUGUUAAUGGUGUAAAAGUGACGUCGUUUGUGCGUGCAGAGGUCCAUAAAGUUACCUAGUUGUCGGGUGAAAAUUUAGUGAAACAGGCGGUGAAACAAAUAAGCAUACACACACGAACUGGCUAAGCCAAACAAAGCGUCGAUGGCAGCAAUAAAAGCAGAGCAGCAGGAAGAGGCACUAGGAAUAAGUGAGACAGCAGUCUCGGAACUUCAUAGCGCAAAGCAGCAGCAGCGGCAUAGUUGAUGACGACGGUGGGCGCGCAUAGUCAACAUGAGAAGGGCCUAUAAAUAAAGGAACUGAAGAUAAUAAGACGAAGUGAAGAAAAGAAAGCAACGACAAAAAAGUCAAUCCAAGUGUAUUAAAAGUGCAUAGUUUAUAAUAUCUUCCUCAAAGGAUAAAAAUUGUAGUGAAAAAAAGAAAAGAAAGUUUGUGCAGAAAAGGGUUUAAACGGGAAUAAAUGCCAAAUUUGAAACCUUUGCGAGAGCAAAAAUUUAAAUAUUGUGACAAAGAGUAAAGCAAUUGAAGUGUGAAAUAAAUAUUGCAAUAAGAGAAAAUACCGCUGGAGGGGUCGAUUUACCGCCCAGGAGAAGGGAAAGGCGGAGAAAAAAUUGGAGUAUGAAGAAUAGAUUGAACUAAAAUAGUAUAGCGAGAAGUUCCCAGAGGCAUCUGAUCUAUCAGGAAAGCAUUGGGAGCAUCAAGCGGAAUAUCAAGGAUUAAAUUAAAUUAUGUGAUCUCAUAAAUAUAAUUAAAUUAUCUAACUGCGGUCUACUUUGCAACUCAGAAAGAAAGACUAGCCGGAAGUUUCAGAACCAACGCCUCUUACUGCAUUUAUAUAUAUAUAUAUAUAUAUAUAUAUAUUCUCACAAGUUGGACGCAAAAAGCUUUGACAACAUCGAUAGCAAAAACAAAAAUAAAUAGCUGUUUACUCGACGGAAGUAGUAAAUUCUUUUUAAUAGAAAAAAUCUACAGAACCAUUUAGAACGAAGCGGUUCAUCAGUUUUUUAAAUAUUUUAUACAAAAUGACAUAAACGAGAAAGCCAUU